UGCGCAGGCGGAUUAAUAAGUCGGGGGUUAAAUCCAUGUGCUUAACACAUGCACGGCUUCCGAUACUGUUGAUCUAGAGUCUCGAAGAGGAAGGUGGAAUUUCCGGUGUAACGGUGGAAUGUGUAGAUAUCGAAAAGAACACCAGUGGCGAAGGCAGCCUUCUGGUCGAGUACUGACGCUCAUGCACGAAAGCGUGGGGAGCAAACA
rnacentral:rRNA from 1 species